CGGAGUUUAAGCAAUUAAACUUUAGUGGCGAACGGGUGAGUAACGCGUAAGCAAUCUGCCCCUAAGACGAGGAUAACAGUUGGAAACGACUGCUAAGACUGGAUAGGAGACAAGAAGGCAUCUUCUUGUUUUUAAAAGACCUAGCAAUAGGUAUGCUUAGGGAGGAGCUUGCGUCACAUUAGUUAGUUGGUGGGGUAAAGGCCUACCAAGACUAUGAUGUGUAGCCGGGCUGAGAGGUUGAACGGCCACAUUGGGACUGAGACACGGCCCAAACUCCUACGGGAGGCAGCAGUAGGGAAUUUUCGGCAAUGGAGGAAACUCUGACCGAGCAACGCCGCGUGAACGAUGAAGUAUUUCGGUACGUAAAGUUCUUUUAUUAGGGAAGAAUAAAUGAUGGAAAAAUCAUUCUGACGGUACCUAAUGAAUAAGCCCCGGCUAACUAUGUGCCAGCAGCCGCGGUAAUACAUAGGGGGCAAGCGUUUUCCGGGAAUUAUUGGGCGUAAAGGGUGCGUAGGCGGUUAAAUAAGUUUAUGGUCUAAGUGCAAUGCUCAACAUUGUGAUGCUAUAAAAACUGUUUAGCUAGAGUAAGAUAGAGGCAAGUGGAAUUCCAUGUGUAGUGGUAAAAUGCGUAAAUAUAUGGAGGAACACCAGUAGCGAAGGCGGCUUGCUGGGUCUUUACUGACGCUGAGGCACGAAAGCGUGGGGAGCAAACAGGAUUAGAUACCCUGGUAGUCCACGCCGUAAACGAUGAGUACUAAACGUUGGGUAAAACCAGUGUUGAAGUUAACACAUUAAGUACUCCGCCUGAGUAGUACGUACGCAAGUAUGAAACUUAAAGGAAUUGACGGGACUCCGCACAAGCGGUGGAUCAUGUUGUUUAAUUCGAAGGUACCCGAAAAACCUCACCAGGUCUUGACAUGCUUCUGCAAAGCUGUAGAAACACAGUGGAGGUUAUCAGUUGCACAGGUGGUGCAUGGUUGUCGUCAGCUCGUGUCGUGAGAUGUUGGGUUAAGUCCCGCAACGAGCGCAACCCUUAUUGUUAGUUACCAGCACGUAAUGGUGGGGACUUUAGCAAGACUGCCAGUGAUAAAUUGGAGGAAGGUGGGGACGACGUCAAAUCAUCAUGCCCCUUAUGACCUGGGCUACAAACGUGAUACAAUGGCUGUUACAAAGGGUAGCUGAAGCGCAAGUUUUUGGCGAAUCUCAAAAAAACAGUCUCAGUUCGGAUUGAAGUCUGCAACUCGACUUCAUGAAGUUGGAAUCGCUAGUAAUCGCGAAUCAGCAUGUCGCGGUGAAUACGUUCUCGGGGUUUGUACACACCGCCCGUCAAACCACGAAAGUUGGUAAUACCCAAAGCCGGUGGCCUAACUUCGCAAGAAGAGGGAACCGUC
rnacentral:rRNA from 1 species